rnacentral:rRNA from 1 species
AUUGAACGCUGGCGGCAUGCCUUACACAUGCAAGUCGAACGGCAGCACGGGAGCAAUCCUGGUGGCGAGUGGCGAACGGGUGAGUAAUAUAUCGGAACGUGCCCAGUCGUGGGGGAUAACGUAGCGAAAGCUACGCUAAUACCGCAUACGAUCUAUGGAUGAAAGCGGGGGAUCGCAAGACCUCGCGCGAUUGGAGCGGCCGAUAUCAGAUUAGGUAGUUGGUGAGGUAAAGGCUCACCAAGCCGACGAUCUGUAGCUGGUCUGAGAGGACGACCAGCCACGCUGGGACGGAGACACGGCCCAGACUCCUACGGGAGGCAGCAGUGGGGAAUUUUGGACAAUGGGCGCAAGCCUGAUCCAGCAAUGCCGCGUGCAGGACGAAGGCCUUCGGGUUGUAAACUGCUUUUGUACGGAACGAAACGGCGAGCUCUAAUACAGUUUGCUAAUGACGGUACCGUAAGAAUAAGCACCGGCUAACUACGUGCCAGCAGCCGCCGUAA